rnacentral:rRNA from 1 species
GACGAACGCUGGCGGCGUGCUUAACACAUGCAAGUCGAACGGGGCGAAGUGAUAGCUUGCUAUUAUGGAGCCUAGUGGCAAACGGGUGAGUAACGCGUAGGCAACCUGCCCUUCAGAUGGGGACAACACCUCGAAAGGGGUGCUAAUACCGAAUGACGUUUCCUAGUCGCAUGACCUGGAAACCAAAGGCUGGGCAACCGGUCACUGAAGGAUGGGCCUGCGUCUGAUAGCUAGUUGGUGGGGUAACGGCCCACCAAGGCGACGAUCAGUAGCCGGUCUGAGAGGAUGAACGGCCACAUUGGGACUGAGAUACGGCCCAGACUCCUACGGGAGGCAGCAGUGGGGAAUAUUGGGCAAUGGGGGAAACCCUGACCCAGCAACGCCGCGUGAAGGAAG